UUCUUCCUACGGGGGGCAGCAGUGGGGAAUAUUGCACAAUGGGGGGAACCCUGAUGCAGCGACGCCGCGUGGGUGAAGGAGUAUUUCGGUAUGUAAAGCCCUAUCAGCAGGGAAGAACAAUGACGGUACCUGACUAAGAAGCACCGGCUAAAUACGUGCCAGCAGCCGCGGUAAUACGUAUGGUGCAAGCGUUAUCCGGAUUUACUGGGUGUAAAGGGAGCGUAGACGGCAGUGCAAGUCCGGAGUGAAAGCCCGGGGCUCAACCCUGGGACUGCUCUGGAAACUGUAAAGCUGGAGUGCGGGAG
rnacentral:rRNA from 1 species